GUGCCAGCCGCCGCGGUAAUACGGAGGGUCCAAGCGUUAUCCGGAAUCAUUGGGUUUAAAGGGUCCGUAGGCGGUUUAGUAAGUCAGUGGUGAAAGCCCAUCGCUCAACGGUGGAACGGCCAUUGAUACUGCUAAACUUGAAUUAUUGUGAAGUAACUAGAAUAUGUAGUGUAGCGGUGAAAUGCUUAGAGAUUACAUGGAAUACCAAUUGCGAAGGCAGGUUACUAACAAUAUAUUGACGCUGAUGGACGAAAGCGUGGGUAGCGAACAGGAUUAGAAACCCCCGUAGUCC
rnacentral:rRNA from 1 species